GACGAACGCUGGCGGCGUGCUUAACACAUGCAAGUCGAGCGGAAAGGCCACUUCGGUGGUACUCGAGCGGCGAACGGGUGAGUAACACGUGAGUAAUCUGCCCUUGGCUUUGGGAUAGCCACCGGAAACGGUGAUUAAUACCGGAUACGACCACUUCUCGCAUGGGAUGGUGGUGGAAAGUUUUUCGGCUAGGGAUGUGCUCGCGGCCUAUCAGCUUGAUGGUGAGGUAAUGGCUCACCAUGGCUUCGACGGGUAGCCGGCCUGAGAGGGUGACCGGUCACACUGGGACGGAGACACGGCCCAGACUCCUACGGGAGGCAGCAGUGGGGAAUAUUGGACAAUGGGCGGAAGCCUGAUCCAGCAACGCCGCGUGAGGGAUGACGGCCUUCGGGUUGUAAACCUCUUUCGGUGGGGACGAAGCGCAAGUGACGGUACCCACUAAAGAAGCACCGGCCAACUACGUGCCAGCCGCCGCCGUAACAC
rnacentral:rRNA from 1 species